rnacentral:rRNA from 1 species
ACGGACACUGAGGAGCGAAAGCGUGGGAGCGAACAGGAUUAGAUACCCUGGUAGUCCACGCCGUAAACGGUGGGCGCUAGUUGUGGGAACCUUCCACGGUUUCUGCGACGCAGCUAACGCAUUAAGCGCCCCGCCUGGGGAGUACGAUCGCAAGAUUAAAACUCAAAGGAAUUGACGGGGCCCCGCACAAGCAGCGGAGCAUGCGGCUUAAUUCGACGCAACGCGAAGGACCUUACCAAGGCUUGACAUAUACAGGAAUAUGGCAGAAAUGUCAUAGCCGCAAGGUCUGUAUACAGGUGGUGCAUGGUUGUCGUCAGCUCGUGUCGUGAGAUGUUGGGUUAAGUCCCGCAACGAGCGCAACCCUCGUUCUGUGUUGCCAGCAUUUAGUUGGGGACUCACAGGAGACUGCCGGGGUUAACUCGGAGGAAGGUGGGGAUGACGUCAAAUCAUCAUGCCCCUUAUGUCUUGGGCUGCACGCAUGCUACAAUGGCUGGUACAAACGGCUGCGAUACCGCAAGGUGGAGCGAAUCCGAUAAAGCCAGUCUCAGUUCGGAUUGGGGUCUGCAACUCGACCCCAUGAAGUCGGAGUUGCUAGUAAUCGUAGAUCAGCAACGCUACGGUGAAUACGUUCCCGGGGCUUGUACACACCGCCCGUCACGUCACGAAAGUCGGUAACACCCGAAGUCAGUGGCCCAACCGUAAGGGGGGAGCUGCCGAAG